rnacentral:rRNA from 1 species
GAUGAACGCUAGCGGCAGGCUUAACACAUGCAAGUCGAGGGGUAUGCCGAUUUAUCGGCAGAGACCGGCGCACGGGUGCGUAACGCGUAUGCAAUCUACCUUUCACAGAGGAUAGCCCAGAGAAAUUUGGAUUAAUACCUCAUAGUAUAGCAAUUUCGCAUGAAACCACUAUUAAAGUUCCAACGGUGAAAGAUGAGCAUGCGUCCCAUUAGCUAGAUGGUAAGGUAACGGCUUACCAUGGCUACGAUGGGUAGGGUCCGUGANAGGGAGAUCCCCACACUGGUACUGAGACACGGACCAGACUCUACGGAGGCAGCAGUGAGGAAU